rnacentral:snRNA from 1 species
GUGCUCGCUUCGGCAGCACAUAUACUAAAAUUGGAACGAUACAGAGAAGAUUAGCAUGGCCCCUGNGCAAGUUAAAGUAAUAAAUAAAUAAAUAAAUAAAUAAUGGU